GACGAACGCUGGCGGCGUGCUUAACACAUGCAAGUCGAACGGAAAGGCCCUGCUUUUGUGGUGUUCUCGAGUGGCGAACGGGUGAGUAACACGUGAGUAACCUGCCCUUGACUUUGGGAUAACUUCAGGAAACUGGGGCUAAUACCGGAUAGCAUCUCCUGCUCCGUGGUGGGGGUUGGAAAGUUUCGGCUGUUGGGGCUGGACUCGCGGCUUAUCAGCUUGUUGGUGGGGUAGUGGCUGACCAAGGCUUUGACGGGUAGCCGGCAUGAGAGGGUGAACGGGCACAUGGGGACUGAGAUACGGAGCAGACGGCUACGGGAGGCAGCAGUGGGGAAUAUUGCACAAUGGGCGGAAGCCUGAUGCAGCAACGCCGCGUGCGGGAUGACGGCUUUCGGGUUGUAAACAGCUUUCGCCUGUGACGAAGCGUGAGUGACGGUACUGGGUAAAGAAGCACCGGCUAACUACGUG
rnacentral:rRNA from 1 species